UACGGGGGGGGCAAGCGUUGUUCGGAAUUACUGGGCGUAAAGGGCUCGUAGGCGGCCAACUAAGUCGGAUGUGAAAUCCCCAGGCUCAACUUGGGAACUGCAUCCGAUACUGGAUGGCUUGAAUUCGGGAGAGGGAUGCAGAAUUCCAGGUGUAGCGGUGAAAUGCGUAGAUAUCUGGAGGAAUACCGGUGGCGAAGGCGGCAUCCUGGACCGACAUUGACGCUGAGG
rnacentral:rRNA from 1 species